rnacentral:rRNA from 1 species
GAUGAACGCUAGCGGCAGGCUUAACACAUGCAAGUCGAGGGGUAGAGGAAGCUUGCUUCCUUGAGACCGGCGCACGGGUGCGUAACGCGUAUACAAUCUACCUUUUACAGAGGGAUAGCCCCAGAGAAAUUUGGAUUAAUACCUCAUAGUAUUUUCGGAUCGCAUGAUUUGAUUAUUAAAGUUCCAACGGUAAAGAUGAGUAAUGCGUCCCAUUAGCUAGAUGGUAAGGUAACGGCUUACCAUGGCAAUGAUGGGUAGGGGUCCUGAGAGGGAGAUCCCCCACACUGGUACUGAGACACGGACCAGACUCCGUACGGGAGGCAGCAGUGAGGAAUAUUGGACAAUGGGCGCAAGCCUGAUCCAGCCAUGCCGCGUGCAGGAAUAAGGUCCUAUGGAUUGUAAACUGCUUUUA